GAAACCGAGUCUUAAUUGGGCGUUAAGUUGCAGGGUAUAGACCCGAAACCCGGUGAUCUAGCCAUGGGCAGGUUGAAGGUUGGGUAACACUAACUGGAGGACCGAACCGACUAAUGUUGAAAAAUUAGCGGAUGACCUGUGGCUGGGGGUGAAAGGCCAAUCAAACCGGGAGAUAGCUGGUUCUCCCCGAAAGCUAUUUAGGUAGCGCCUCGUGAAUUCAUCUCCGGGGGUAGAGCACUGUUUCGGCUAGGGGGCCAUCCCGGCUUACCAACCCGAUGCAAACUGCGAAUACCGGAGAAUGUUAUCACGGGAGACACACGGCGGGUGCUAACGUCCGUCGUGAAGAGGGAAACAACCCAGACCGCCAGCUAAGGUCCCAAAGUCAUGGUUAAGUGGGAAACGAUGUGGGAAGGCCCAGACAGCCAGGAUGUUGGCUUAGAAGCAGCCAUCAUUUAAAGAAAGCGUAAUAGCUCACUGGUCGAGUCGGCCUGCGCGGAAGAUGUAACGGGGCUAAACCAUGCACCGAAGCUGCGGCAGCGAACGUAUCACUUAAAGCGAUUCAGCGGGUUACGAUUGACGGAGCGAAGCGACGUCAAAGCGUAUACAAAGUCGAGUCGGUUUAAGGAUACGUUCGUUGGGUAGGGGAGCGUUCUGUAAGCCUGCGAAGGUGGCCUGUGAGGGUUGCUGGAGGUAUCAGAAGUGCGAAUGCUGACAUAAGUAACGAUAAAGCGGGUGAAAAGCCCGCUCGCCGGAAGACCAAGGGUUCCUGUCCAACGUUAAUCGGGGCAGGGUGAGUCGACCCCUAAGGCGAGGCCGAAAGGCGUAGUCGAUGGGAAACGGGUUAAUAUUCCCGUACUUGGUGUUACUGCGAAGGGGGGACGGAGAAGGCUAUGUUGGCCGGGCGACGGUUGUCC
rnacentral:rRNA from 1 species